rnacentral:rRNA from 1 species
GCUAAUAACCGGAUAACAACAGAUGAUGCCUAUCAACUGUUUAAAAGAUGGUUCUGCUAUCACUCUUGGAUGGACCUGCGGUGCAUUAGCUAGUUGGUAGGGUAACGGCCUACCAAGGCGAUGAUGCAUAGCCGAGUUGAGAGACUGAUCGGCCACAUUGGGACUGAGACACGGCCCAAACUCCUACGGGAGGCAGCAGGU